rnacentral:rRNA from 1 species
UACGAAGGGGGCUAGCGUUGCUCGGAAUCACUGGGCGUAAAGCGCACGCAGGCGGAUCGUUAAGUCAGGGGUGAAAUCCUGGAGCUCAACUCCAGAACUGCCUUUGAUACUGGGAGCCUUGAGUUCGGGAGAGGUGAGUGGAACUGCGAGUGUAGAGGUGAAAUUCGUAGAUAUUCGCAAGAACACCAGUGGCGAAGGCGGCUCACUGGCCCGAUACUGACGCUGAGGUGCGAAAGCGUGGGGAGCAAACAGG